GUUAUUCCGUGUUUUCCUUUGUCUCAUUAUGAAAAUCAACACUUCUUUUCUUUUCAGAUCCGCCUGUGUUUUAAAAUAUUAGUUAAUCAUACUGAGUGCCACGUUGCAAUUACCAGCAUUAAUCAUAAAGUUUUCCCAUAUAGCAUUAAUAAAUUACUUUCCUCCGUUUUGUGUGACUGCUUGUUGUUUCUGUCCAAGUCAUGAUUUAUCUCGUCUUAUCAUAACAGUAAGAUAGGUGAUCGAAUGGAGAUUAGAUAACACUAUACCCCCAAUCUCAUAUCUUUCAAAACACUCCAUUCAAUGUAUUGGUAAUCACCUCAGCACCCUCUUCACAAUACUGAUACAAAUCGGCACACCUUGUACUCUCAGUACAAUAAGUAUAAAAGCCUCACCUCCUUUAUACUAGUUGACUGCUGAGACCACGGGGAGGAAGGCAAACGGAGACAAACUCUUUGGAACACAAUGUCAGACUGUGAAGGUUGCUUUAGCUGUGACUUUGAUUGCUGUGACUGUGAUGAUGACGCUGGCUGUGAUGACGACUCUGGCUGUGAUCUUUGCUGCCUGUGUAUAGACGUCGCCGAAGAAAGGAACGUGGCUAAAGAGAAGAAAAAGAAGAGAGAAGGGGAAGGAAACGCUGAUGUCGUGACAUCGCAGCCAACGUCUUCGCAAAACGGAUAAAGGAAAUGAAAGGAUAAUCGCUGAUGAAGGUUUAAUUGGAAAAAAAUAAAAGAAAGUGGUGAUAGACAGAAAAAAAAUAUAGUUUUGAAUGUAUGCAACAGGAAAUGAUUAUCUGAGGAGUGGAAUAGAGUAUCGAUAUAAUUUUUGUUUGAUGUAACAGUAAAUUCAAAUGUUAAGUUUAAGAGAAAAUAAAAUACUACUUAAUUACA